CACGCCGUAAACGAUGAUAACUAGCUGUCCGGGCUCAUAGAGUUUGGGUGGCGCAGCUAACGCAUUAAGUUAUCCGCCUGGGGAGUACGGUCGCAAGAUUAAAACUCAAAGGAAUUGACGGGGGCCUGCACAAGCGGUGGAGCAUGUGGUUUAAUUCGAAGCAACGCGCAGAACCUUACCAGCUUUUGACAUCCCGAUCGCGAUUACCAGAGAUGGUUUUCUUCAGUUCGGCUGGAUCGGUGACAGGUGC
rnacentral:rRNA from 1 species